rnacentral:tRNA from 1 species
GCCGACGUAGCUCAGUUGGUAGAGCAGCUGAUUCGUAAUCAGCAGGCCGUCAGUUCGAGUCUGACCGUCGGCUCCA